GACGUAGGGCGCGAGCGUUGUCCGGAUUUAUUUGGGCGUAAAGAGCUCGUAGGCGGCUUGUCGCGUCGACUGUGAAAACUCGGGGCUCAACUCCGAGCUUGCAUUCGAUACGGGCAGGCUAGAGUUCGGUAGGGGAGACUGGAAUUCCUGGUGUAGCGGUGAAAUGCGCAGAUAUCAGGAGGAACACCGGUGGCGAAGGCGGAUCUCUGGGCCGAUACUGACGCUGAGGAGCGAAAGCGUGGGGAGCGAACAGG
rnacentral:rRNA from 1 species